AGAGUUUGAUCAUGGCUCAGGACGAACGCUGGCGGCGUGCCUAACACAUGCAAGUCGAACGGAGAAUCAGGAGCUUGCUCCUGAUUCUUAGUGGCGGACGGGUGAGUAACGCGUGAGUAACCUGCCUUCAAGAGGGGGAUAACAUUCUGAAAAGAAUGCUAAUACCGCAUGAUAUAUCGGAACCACAUGGUUUUGAUAUCAAAGAUUUUAUCGCUUGAAGAUGGACUCGCGUCCGAUUAGUUAGUUGGUGAGGUAACGGCUCACCAAGACCGCGAUCGGUAGCCGGACUGAGAGGUUGAACGGCCACAUUGGGACUGAGACACGGCCCAGACUCCUACGGGAGGCAGCAGUGGGGAAUAUUGCACAAUGGGGGAAACCCUGAUGCAGCGACGCCGCGUGAGCGAAGAAGUAUUUCGGUAUGUAAAGCUCUAUCAGCAGGGAAGAAAAUGACGGUACCUGACUAAGAAGCACCGGCUAAAUACGUGCCAGCCGCCGCGGUAAUAC
rnacentral:rRNA from 1 species